rnacentral:tRNA from 1 species
UUAAAGGAUAAAAGUAAUCCGCUGGUCU